rnacentral:rRNA from 1 species
UACGUAGGCAGCGAGCGUUGUUCGGAGUUACUGGGCGUAAAGCGUGCGUAGGCGGUUUUGUAAGUUUGGUGUGAAAUCUCCCGGCUCAACUGGGAGGGUGCGCCGAAAACUGCAAGGCUGGAGUAUGGGAGAGGUAGGCGGAAUUCCUGGUGUAGCGGUGAAAUGCGUAGAUAUCAGGAGGAACACCUGUGGUGUAAACGGCUUACUGGACCAUGACUGACGCUGAGGCACGAAAGCGUGGGGAGCAAACAGG